rnacentral:misc_RNA from 1 species
UCUCCGUAGGUGAACCUGCGGAGGGAUCAUUACAAGAGUGAGGGCCCUCGCGGCCCGAAUCUCCAACCCCAUGUUGUCCGACUCUGUUGCCUCGGGGGCGACCCGGCCCUUCUGGGCGACGGGGCCCCCGGAGCCCAUCAAACCCUGCGUAACUAAGUCGUCGGAGUUUAAACAAAUUAAACAAAACUUUCAACAACGGAUCUCUUGGUUCGGGCAUCGAUGAAGAACGCAGC